CGCAGGAAAAGGAAGAAGGAUGUGGUUACCAGAGGAGCACCUGCCUGAGUUUGCUGUUUCCAGGUUCUUCCUCGAGGGUCACGCUUCAGACGGAGCUCUGCAGACCGGUGCUUUCUCCAGCAGUCGCUGAAGUCUCAUAGCACUGGUUUUUGCCAGCAUUGCGGAGUGUGGUUCCUCCGUGUAGACACUAGAGGAAUUUUAUAGUGAGCCAUGAAAAUGCAACCAGCCUUCUUGAUAACAUUCCUGGAAGACCCAGUGAACUGCCAAAAACUAGUCUUAAAAGGUCUAGGAAGCAUUGCUGAGAGGGCGUGGAGCUUCUGCAUAUACAUUUCUUCGUGUACAUUUCCUCUAAGACUGCUGCUCAUGGAAACAUAGCUUCUUAUCCAGCCUGCGGUCCACGGUGUGCACUUUCAAAGCCCACCACACUUGGCCAGCUUUUCCACUCCUGCGUUUACCUGACUUUAUAUUCACAAUCAACUUGGAUCUUGUAGUUACCUAUAAAUGUACCCUAAAAUCUAAUGUGGCUUUGCCAUUUACUUUCACAUGUACCCCAAAAAUCUUUUGUAUGGCUGUGGUUUUAUAAAUGAGCCACUUAGAAUUGAGAGUCAAAAUUUCAAAACUGGAACUAAGUAUCCUCAGCACACAUUUUAAUGUAGUAAAUAUCCCUCCUGUCCAAUGCACUGGUACGCAUUGGCCUGAUGUCUGUCUUCACACCAGCCUGCUGGGGCUCAGUGCUCAGCAGUAGAAAAAUUAAAGAGUGGGCC
rnacentral:lncRNA from 1 species